CAGUCGCCGCGGGAAUACGAAGGGGGCUAGCGUUGUUCGGAUUUACUGGGCGUAAAGGGCGCGUAGGCGGACUGAUAAGUCAGGGGUGAAAUCCCAAGGCUCAACCUUGGAACUGCCUUUGAUACUGUUUGUCUUGAGUUCGAGAGAGGUAAGUGGAACUGCGAGUGUAGAGGUGAAAUUCGUAGAUAUUCGCAAGAACACCAGUGGCGAAGGCGGCUUACUGGCUCGAAACUGACGCUGAGGCGCGAAAGCGUGGGGAGCAAACAGGAUUAGAGACCCGCGUAGUCCCUGUCUCUUAUAC
rnacentral:rRNA from 1 species